rnacentral:rRNA from 1 species
UACAGAGGGCUCAAGCGUUGUUCGGAUUCAUUGGGCGUAAAGGGUGCGUAGGCGGCGCGGUAAGUCGGGUGUGAAAUCUUGGAGCUUAACUCCGAAACUGCAUUCGAUACUGCCGUGCUUGAGGACGGGAGAGGAGACUGGAAUUUACGGUGUAGCGGUGAAAUGCGUAGAUAUCGUAAGGAAGACCAGUGGCGAAGGCGGGUCUCUGGACAGUUCCUGACGCUGAGGCACGAAGGCCAGGGGAGCAAACGGG